GGAUAUGUCAGAAGAAUACCAGCAGGAAAAGAGGUCAAGAUAGCUACCAUGGGUAUGACUCUCCUGAUCCCAGCCUUUGUAUUCAUGGCCUUCGCUCACAGUGCCAGCAUGAUGUACAUUGGUCUCACUCUGUUUGCUUUUGCAUCAGCCACAGUGGUGCCAUGUCUUACCACACUGAUCUCAGGAUUUGGAGGCACGAAUCAGAAAGGGGUGGUGAUGGGGGUGUUCCGGUCCCUGGGGGCACUGGCCAGGGCAUUCGGUCCGGUCCUAUCCAGCAUAGUGUAUUGGAGCUGUGGGGACAAGGUUUGCUACAUAUCAGGGGCAGUGCUUCUCAUCAUUCCUUACAUCAUGCUCAGGAAGAUCAAAGGCUCCUCCCACUCUGCAUAACAAGGCUUCUGAUUGGACAGAGGCUAUUUAUAUGUUUCAGCAAAGUAGAUCCUUACUUAUAUACAUGUACAAUAUAACAGUAUGAAAGAUUGGACCACUACACAUAACUUUUAACACACUCCUUUGAUUGGUCAGCAGCUUAUAUUUGUUUAGUCACAAUGUUUCUUAUUGGAUAUAUAAUGAAAUUAAACUGCAAUGAAAUCAUAUAAUCAUUUUCCAUAUUGAAAAAAAAUCAAAUGUUGUCCAGAGCAUAUGGACAGCAUUUUCUAAUAUCAGAAAUGUUUGUUGUGAUGACUGUCAAAACCAAAUGUUGGGAUAAACAUUUACAAACUUUUUAUAUUGAAUUAAUAUUUAUUCUAGUAAAUAUUAAUUUCUGCAUUUCAAGAAAAACAAUAUUUUUAGAAGAUGAUCAUUAUUAGGUUAAUUUUUUUUUGUUGCCAUGUACUUAAGAAAUAAAAGUAAACGCACAUUUUUAUUGAAAAAAAAAUUCUACAAGACAAUUUAUUGAUAUUAUCAAUCUAAUCAUUAUUUUUUCAUUUGAAUAUAGUUGGCUUUGUCUAUUUUUUUUUCCACAAGUUGUCUUAUGCACCAUAUACCAUGUUUCCACUUAUAUUGAUAUAGAUAACAGUUCAAAGUGUCUCAGCUGAAAUGUGAAGGACACUUAUCAGAGAUGAGAUCAAGCUGCUGAAUUUUGAAAUGUACUUAAUGCAUUAUUCAUUUACAUGUACAUGAUUAGACUAAUUAAUUAGUUCUUUAGAAUUUAGCAUUUAUUUUUAUCCUUAUGUACGGCAUUAAUUUUCUUAGCCUACCUUUAUCACAGAGAACCAUGUUACACUUUGCUGGCUCAAACAUGGCAUGGUUUUCAAUUCCUUGAAAUAUGUACUCAGACUGUCAUUUUUUAUGGAGAAUCCUCUAAAAUCCAGGGAAAUUUAAGGAUUAUGUAAAAGUACCUUUAUUUAAAAAAAAAAAAUUCUGUACAUUACUGUUCCUGCUUAAAAACUUAUGAACUGUUUGAAUAAUGAAAGAAUAUAAAAGUGAUGUCCUCAGACAUGGCUGCAUAAGGGAAAUAACUCUUGCUUAAUUAAAUUGUAAUCAUUAUGUUAGUUGCGUUUAAAGACCACAUUUAUUUAAAACAUCAUCCAAAUUUACUUUAAUUAAGAAGAAUUUGAAUGUCCUUUGAUUUGGAUGCAUAUGAUUAAGAUUAAUAAUUCAGCAUUCAACUUUAGUUGAACCGUUGACAAGGUAUUUGUGAUCACAACUGUUAAUGUAUUCAAUUGUUAUGGUUGACUUAAGAAAAUGGAUAUUUUUUUAUUUGUAAGUUUUAUAUUGUUGGUUCUUUGAUAUUUUAUGAUCAUAGUUUACAUGACAUUUAUGUCUGUAUUUAGGAAAAUGCAAAUAUUUUACUGUUAUUACUUAUAUGCACUUGAAUUGUACACUGUGACUUAAGAUAAUGCUAAUAUCUAUAAAGAUGUUAAUGAAUAUGCAUAUUAAGAUGGUGCUAUGGAUGAAUAACUGCUGCAAUGAAUUUUGAUGCUGUUUGUUAAAGUCUUUGAUAGGUGUAUGUGUUUAAUGAUUAUAUUUUUCCUAAUUAUUUGAUACAUUCAUUUGAUAACAAUUGUGAUUUUAGAUUUUCUUUGAUUUAUAAUUUUUUUGUACCAAAUUGUUUGGGAUGUGGUCAUCAAAUGUUUUAUAUUAUAAGCUUUACUUUCAAAUUAAAGUCUUUAUACUAAC
rnacentral:misc_RNA from 1 species